UAAGGGUUGGUGAAGGGUUGGGUUAGGGUUGAUUGAGGCUUAGGUGGGCCGGUGAGAUGUGAGGGGGGUUCCUUGAGCAGUGGGGUUCCUUGAGCAGUUUAGGGUGGCUAAGGUGAGAGGUGAGGGGGUUCCUUGAGCAGUUUAGGGUGGCUAAGGUGAGAGGUGAGGGGGUUCCUUGAGCAGUUUAGGGUGGCUAAGGUGAGAGGUGAGGGGGGGUUUCCUUGAGCAGUUUAGGGUGGCUAAGGUGAGAGGUGAGGGGGUUCCUUGAGCAGUUUAGGGUGGCUAAGGUGAGAGGUGAGGGGGGUUCCUUGAGCAGUUUAGGGUGGCUAAGGUGAGUCGGAGAAGCAGUAGCAGCGAUUCCAUUUGCUUCGUCUUUUCUGUCUGUGUGCCGAACACGUUGUGAGCUUCUGUGUUGUUGGUGAUGGAUUCCUGCUGUGGACUACACAGUGCCUGCAUGUCAAUGAGCUCUGUGUCCUCCUGUGGUUUCCUAUUUAAAUAUGUGUGCUGUGGACUGUGUCAGUCCCUGUUGUGGAUUAUGUUAAACUUCAUAUGUGUUCAGCUACAUGUCUGUGGGACUGAGUCGUGGGAUUCACAAACAAGAGGAGUAUGUGCUUAGGGGAGGAAGUCUUCUGUUAUAUGCGCUGCUCUACUGUAUUCUGCUCCUCCGCACUGUUCUGCUUUAUUGUAAACGGUGACUUGUGGGAUGGAGGUGGACUGUGUAUUUGUGUUCUCGUUUCUAAAGCGAUGUGUUUCUGUGCUCGAUGUGUGUCUUUUGUGGAUGUGCUCUGUGGCAUCACUGAUACUGAAAUCACCUCUAUAUGGGCCAGUGUGUCGGUGAAACCUCUUCGAAACCACUUACUCCCUCUCACUCUGCGCAUCAUCUGGGUUGAUGUCUGGUGAUGUCGAUACUGAAAUGGUAUCAUAAACACUGUUCUAUCGGUCUGCCAUCUUGCAUUCAUUUGUAUACCCUGGCAACAGAACUGCACCUAGUAGAUCAGUCUUAUCUCUUACCUUACCAUCUAUACUCCCUUGGCUCUAACUGUCUGGGUACUUGCUGAAUUCAGCUUAGUCUCUGACUGUACUGGACAUAUAUAGAUGGUAUAACCCAUGUAGGGAUGGUAGAAACUAGUUAUUGAUGAUAGAACCAUGAAGGCAGCACAAUGAAGAGGUGAUAUCAGUUUUUGGCAGCAGAGUGGAGGAGAGAGAGCAGCGUUGGAGGCAACCGAUUGGAGGCGAUAUAGAGGAGAUAGCAGAAGAGCCAUUUAAGUUUGUAGUCGAGCGACUGACGAUCUAUUGCCAUCUACAUACACAUCUAUGAACAUGCCUAUAGGGAUACUUCGACCCCCGAGAUAGUGUAUAGUGGUCAUUCUGAGAUGAUCUGGAUCCUGGCCUCCGCUGGUUAGUGACCAUCUGCUGGCCCCUCUCCCUCACAGAACACAGGGGGGGGGGGGACCAAUUCAGUGCCAUUCCGUCAUCCCCCCAGAGAUGUCCUGAAGCAAAGGCGGUGUGGUUCGAAGGCUGCUCAAAGUCCUAUGUUCUCUCUCUCUCUUUAGUGAUGCUAAGCAAAGUUGAUAGUAAUACUGAUAUUAUUAUCCUCUUGUUCACAGUUUUUUCUGUUUCUCUUUGUCUGUCUUUUUCUCUUAAAGACACACUAACAUGGACAUAGACACAGAGCAAACCAAUAGCGUAGCCAGUAUUUUAUCUUAAAAUGAGCGGGCCACAAACAAACCCAAAAAAUCAACAAAUCCUUAAUUUCUUAAGUCAGAAAUCUGUGAGGGCUUCGCUACUGGAGAAAACGAACAUUUUGCCAGCAGAGAAUAAGAAUUGACUGUGCAGGAGGGGCUGUCCUGUGGAAUUAUGUUAACCAAUCAUGGGAAGCAUUUGUGUACAGUAAGUAUGAGUGUUUGAAUGUGUGAGUGGGAGUGUGUUGGUGUAUGUAGUAAAUAAUUGUUUCCAGACUAGGAAAGCUCCUCACACUGUAUAUGCAACACUGAUUUCCCAAUAGUUCCACCGAGCAGAGGAUAGCUGGUAUUAUGAGGCACACAGACACACACACAUACACCACAGAAACCACACACACACCCAUACUUACACACACACACCACACACUGGUCCAAAUCAAUUGAACUAACAGUACAGCCUUCUUUCUGAUAAGCAACACAUAAUGCACCACCUUUGUGGAUUCAUUCCUCACCUACGUAAAUUGCCAUGCUGACAAAAGACAAACAUGCACGCACAUGAACUCACACAACGUGUGGUGGAUUCUGCUGCUCCCCUAGCAGCGCAAAGCCACUUUAGCCCAUGGGUAGAGUGGCUUUUAUUAAACCCUGUUUUACAUAAUAUGCAAUAGAUUUACUGGUGUGGGCACCUGAGUUUAGACUGCUGAAGUUACUAAAGGUUAACGCUAAUACAGGCCUCCGUUUCACAUCAGAAUUUAUUGAGAACAACUCCAGGUUUGGAAAAGGUAAUUUUGUGUUGCAUGCUUACAGAGACAAAACUCAUUUUACCCUAAAUCUGGGAGCACGGGACUGGAUGGCUGACAAACUUGCUGACCGGCUGACUGACUGAUGUAGAAAAAGGGAAUGGAAUUGUUUGGCUGACAAUUUGACUUGCAGUCUGAAUGAAUGAAUGAAUGUCUAGAGUUUAUCCAGGCCAGCAAGUCAGGAUUUUAUAGUAUUUUAUUUCUUAUUUUGAUCUAGUGCCAUCAUGCAAGUUAAACCUAGUUUUUUGUUGUCACCCUCAGUGACACUAUACUAUUCUAAAAUAGGAGGUACAGUAUUAGGAAAGAGGUGACAGUUUAAUAGAGAGAGAGAGAGAGAGAGAGAGAGAGAGGGAGGGAGGGAGAGGGAGGGAGAGAAAGAAGUGAAAGGUGAAGAAGAGAAAGACAGAGAUGGAAGAACUGAUCUUUCUUUGGGUGGUAUAGGCCAGCAUAUCUUUAUUUGUCUGGUUUACUAUUAUCUCAGACAGUCCUCUUUAACAGAACAGUUAAGGACUGGGAUUGUUGAGUUGAACUGAGUGACAAUGAGUAACAAUGAAGUUAUGUUUAUAAUGGCCCCAUCAUCAAACUCUGGUCACAUCAUUAAACUCGUAUCAUCUAAAUUUCCUUCUUUAGUUUCAGCAGAGCUGGACUUGUUUGCUCUGUGGCUCAGGGAUGUCUUUCUUGCACUGUUUGAGGAUGAACUGCCAAUUAAUCAUGUCAAUAUGCUGAAUUAGUCGUGGCCAUGCCACAGUAAUGAUACAUGCAUAGAUACACUUUAUUUUAAUUUCCCUUCAGGAUUGAGUCUGCUGUCCAAAGGUUAAUUUACCAGUUUAUGGAGAUUGUUCCAUAUUCUCCCUCACGUGGGAAAAUUAGGGAGUUGGGGGGUGUGCCUCACUGUAAUUGUCAGUCACAACACACAAAGCUACUGUACACAACAAUCACAGCACACACACAUGUCCAAUAAAAGUAAUAAGAGUGGGGAUUAAAGUCCCAAACUGGACUGAAAUGAAUCUAACAAAUCAGUCAAGGCAAAUGUGGUUCAAUAAAGCCAGUUCUAGUUUCUAAAAUCAGACUAUUUAGGCCAGGUUCAGGAAGUCAAGAUAAUUGGGUGUGUGCGCUAUUCUUUAUUGAAAGGUCGAACAUGGAUUUAAGCAAUCCACCAUGGCAAGAAUAAAUGUUCAAGGCCAUGUUACCUUUACCUGAAAGUACAUUCUCUUUAAGCCGUGUCCCAUGACAAUUCCCUCAUCCACCACCUCAUCAAUGAAGGGACACGCCAUGACAUGAACAGUAUGUAGGUUAAUGUCCUUUUUAUAGACCUUCACUUUAUUAACUACAUUGAUAAAGAGAAACAUACACCCACUAAACACAUCUAUGGUACCUUUUUGAUAAUAUUUAUUUACUUUCGUUUAACAUUAACCAUCACAUUUUUUUAUAUAUUUUUUUGUUUAAAAAAAUUGAGGAUAGAGGCAUAGAUUUCGAUACUAAAUUUCUGUUAAAAUAUUUUUUGCUAAUAUACCGUCAACUAUUUAUGUAUCUAUGAUCAUUCUAUUGGGGAAUUUACAUAUUUUAUGUACCAUAAGCUUAAACAUUUGAUAUCACAUAGACUAGGCUACCAUAUAAUUCAAAUGAAUGUAGAUCUGUAUCUUAUCAUUUAUCAUUGUAUAAUUAAUUAAGUGUAUUAUUUAUUUAAGUUGAUUUUCUAUAAACAAAAAUGUUUGACUUGGUGGUUAAUGAAGUAAAAUAUGGCAGCACACCAGAAAGUCUGUGGUAAAUCAUGGUUUUCCGGUCAGCUCAGUUUUACAUGAAUGUCUGGUCAAACAACAACACAGGCUACGCCUGACAGAUAGCCUGCCUGGAACCGAUUUAAAGUAGUUUCGCAACAUAAGUUGCAUAGUAAUUUAGUUUGAACUAUGUGGAACUUGAUUUAUGGAACCCAAAUAACUGGAAAUGAGUCAGACUAAUUGACAUAAUCCUGGCUUGCUUAUUUAGUGAACUCGCUUUAUGGAAAAGGCCUCUAGUCUUCAAACUAAACUUGUUUGAUUUGUUAGAUUUUUUAACAAAUUAAAUAAAUAUUCUAAUAGUUUUGGGGGAAUUUGACCCUGGUGUGGCGAAGGGAGUUUAAGGAUCUCGGCUUCAGUAUGACAUUGUGUGGAUUUCUUAGUCCAAUGAGCCGCACUGAAGGCAAGGCAAAAAUUAAGAUGAGCCAGAGGAAGGGGCAUAUUUAGAUCUACUGGAAUGGUCAUAUUCUAAAGGCCACCACUGUCUUAAGUAUGUGUGUGCGUUCUCGAGCAUGUGUGUGUGUUUGUGUGCAUUUAUGUUUGUGUGACUCAUGUAGUUGUUCCGGAGUUUAGAGAUUAACUAAAUGAAAGCAUAUGCCAGCUCUAACGAAGAAUAUUACGUUUGUCUGCACAUUCAUUUGUUGUGCUUGUCUUUUGCAUGUGCGCAACUACAUGGAACUGCAUGUGUGUGCUGUACAGUCAGACCCAGUGUCUCCCUAUGUUCUAAACUUUGAUGUUUGAGCCUAAUUGUGUGCCUAUCCUGCUGUGCUGUGUGCUAGGUGUGCGUUGCUACGCUGUUGAAUGGCCUAUGAUGUUUACUUGCAUUUUUCCAUUCUGGCUUGUAUCUUAUUAUCUGAGGGAGGUCCUGUCAGGUCUGCUCUUCCAGUGCCAGCACAGAUUUACUGCUAUUAUGAUUGUUGUUACAACAAUGUUCUGCCCAGUUUUUUUUUUUGGCAUGGUAGAGGAACAAGAUGCUAUCCAUAGGUACAUGAUAUGGUCUGGUUUCCAUUUAGGCUUUGGCAAUUGACAAAUAUUUUCCAUGUUUUGUGCUGUGUCUGUAAGUGUGUCUGUCUGUGAGUGUGUCUGCAUAUUUGUUACUUUGGGAUUGCCGAUGUGCAUCAUAGAAAAUGUUUUUCAUGACUGAUCUUUUUUUCUCUGCCCCCUUCCUUUAUUUAUUUAUAACAUGUACAUUAAAUGAUUCUUCUAUUGUUAUGAUGUGAACCUGUUCCUAUGCUACUGCUUCAUGCUGUAAUGCUAAUAUAUUUAAAUAAAGUUUAUCGUCUUUCAACUCCAA